GGACUACUCGGGUAUCUAAUCCUGUUUGCUCCCCACGCUUUCGCACCUCAGCGUCAGUAUCGGACCAGUUGGCCGCCUUCGCCACUGGUGUUCUAGCUAAUAUCUACGAAUUUCACCUCUACACUAGCUGUUCCACCAACCUCUUCCGAACUCAAGAUCGCCAGUAUCGAAGGCAGUUCUGAGGUUGAGCCUCAGGAUUUCACCCCCGACUUAACAAUCCGCCUACGUGCGCUUUACGCCCAGUGAUUCCGAACAACGCUAGCCCCCUUCGUAUUACCGCGGCGGCUGGCAC
rnacentral:rRNA from 1 species